rnacentral:rRNA from 1 species
GUCCACGCCGUAAACGAUGAGAACUAGCUGUUGGGUGCUUUAAGCACUUAGUGGCGCAGCUAACGCGUUAAGUUCUCCGCCUGGGGAGUACGGCCGCAAGGUUAAACUCAAAGGAAUUGACGGGGCCGCACAAGCGGUGGAGCAUGUGGUUUAAUUCGAUGCAACGCGAAAACCUUAACCUACCCUUGACAUCCUUGGGAGCCUCUAGAGAUAGAGGUGUGUCUUCGGAAACCAAGAGACAGGUGCUGCAUGGCUGUCGU